UGGUGACUCAGCUGGCAAAGAAUCUGCCUGUAAUGCAGGAGACCCAGGUUCAAUCCCUGGGUCAGCAA
rnacentral:tRNA from 1 species